UACUGCAGCCUUUGUUGUGGUCCUACACUUUUGUCGCUGUUUGGUCUCAAGCAGUUUUGCCUGUAUUGGUACUUAGGGGCUCUUUUUGCCUUUAUUUGCUCUUCUGGUCCUCACAGGCAUUUGAGGUCUUGACCUCUGCUAAAGCUUUCCAGUAGGACAGAAGCAGGGAACCCAAGUCCAGCCAAUUCCCAGAUUUUUCCCAUUAAUUGCCUUUGGUGGAGAUAAGGGUAAUGAGGAACCUAACUUGGCUGUUUCCCCUCAGAUCCAGCCCCAGUCACCCUGGGCUUUUUUCUGUUUCCAUGGAGAGCUGGGGGUUAAUGACCAAGGGGAGGGUGCUGAUUUAAUACAGCUUGGAAUUAACUUCCAUGUUUGUUUGGUUUUUUUUCCCCCUUCCCUCUCCCUUCUUUACUAUGUACAAAUUGGAAUCAUUUUCCUCUUGUGCUAACUUAUAGGCAAUUAAAAAAAGAAAGAAAACAGAACACAAGAUUUUACUAACAUUCAAAAGACACAUCAUUAGAUUGAAGAAAGAUUUUACUGCACACUGGAGUUGGAGCUUUCAUCUUCAAAAUUCAUGUCUUGGAUUUCUCAGAAUAACUUUAAAUAUUCAGUAUGUGAGUUCUCUUAAUGCAGACUUUUUUUCUGUGCUCAUCUUCAAAGCUCAUAACACACACAUUCUCUUAUUUUCUUUUUGCUGGGUAAUUCUCUUGCAGGUAUAUUCUUUCAAAAGUCAUUUCUUAAGUCAUUUGUUUCAUUUCUGCCCCACUCAUUAAAAAAAAAAAAAAGAUGGAAAGACCAUUUUGGUGAAAUUAAAAGCUUUUUGCCUUUCCCUGCAAUGAUUUUCUUCUGACCUUUGAGUAAUAUGGCAAAAAGAAACCAAUGCAAUACAGCGUGCUUAUCAUCUGAUCCACCCAUGCUGGCUGUGUGACUGUCGCCUGGCUUGUGAGUUACUUACACUCUAGCACUCACAGAAUAACUUAAUCAAGCUCUGAAGAGAUCACCUGUUAGUCCUUGAAGGAUACCUGUCUCAUAGGAAUCUGAAGCCCUGGCUGAGGGUCAACAUCCUUUUCAGCCUUGCAGUCAGGAGUAGGAGCAAAGCAAUGAUUACUUCCUGGCCUGAAAGGAAGAGAAGGGAGAAAAGGGCGUGAGUGGGAAAAGAUGGAAGAGUCGAUGCGAGGGCAAGGAGGGAAGAAAGAGGGAGGGAAGGGAGAAGAGAAAGGGGGGGCACUGCAGG
rnacentral:lncRNA from 1 species